rnacentral:tRNA from 1 species
CAGAAAAUAGUUUAUUUAAAAUAUUAAUUUUGGGAAUUAAUGAAGAAUUAUUUAUUAUUCUUUUCUGA